rnacentral:pre_miRNA from 1 species
AGUGGGAUAGCUGGGCCAUAUGAGGUUUUAUUCCUAGUUUUUGGAGGAAUAUUCACAAUGCUUUCCAGAGUGGCUGUACUAAUUUGCAGUCCCACCAGCAAU